ensembl:lncRNA PVT1 Pvt1 oncogene
UUUCCUGGUGGUUUGCAGGCAUGGAAGAUUCUUCUGUUCAUCUAAGCUCCUGACUUUAGGCCCUUCUAGAACAUUAGAGAGGAGAAGAAAUCACGUGCAAGGAUUUAGGGACAAGAGGAUGAGGUUUUGGUGUUUCCUUUCUGGUAUUAGGUUUUCCAGAGAGAGGCUGUUAGCCUGUCUCUCGCCCACUCCACCACUGUGAAUCCUGGCUACUGGGGCUAGUUCCUUGCUAGGAAAAAAAAACUCUAGAGAAAUGUGUUUGUGUGUGGUGGGUGGGCGGGGGCCCUGAGGAUGCAGGGACUGUGUCUGCUGUGUUGUCUGUUAUAAGAUGUUUCAGACCUAUUUUGCAUACUGGCAGCGACAAGUUGAGACUUGUUCAACUUGACACAGUCCUGUGGUCAUAGCGAAUCUUUCUAAAGCUCUGAUCAGUCAAGAAGGGGGUUGUAUCAAUCCUCAGAACCCUGAGUGGAACUUUCUACAGGAUUUAUUAGGAGAAAAACCUUCCCGGAAGCUGCAGAAGGACAAAUACAGAAUCCGUGUCUGGGAGAAACCUCGUGGCCUGGUCUCCAUUAUUUGAGAUGAGUUACAUCUUGGAGGACCAUAGCUGUCUGCAGUGCAGGAAGCCAACUAUUAAGGGGAAACAAAAGUGUUCUUAGGAGUCCUGCUGUCACUGUGGAUUGAGCCGGUGAAGCCCUGAGGGAUUUCAUCGCUGAGGUGGAUGGAGAAGCAGCUGGGGGCCUUGGCUGUAAGGACCCCUAAGGGCCUGAUCUUUUGGCCAGAAGGAGAUUAAAAAGAUGCCCCUCAAGAUGGCUGUGCCUGUCAGCUGCAUGGAGCUUCGUUCAAGUAUUUUCUGAGCCUGAUGGAUUUACAGUGAUCUUCAGUGGUCUGGGGAAUAACGCUGGUGGAACCAUGCACUGGAAUGACACACGCCCGGCACAUUUCAGGAUACUAAAAGUGGUUUUAAGGGAGGCUGUGGCUGAAUGCCUCAUGGAUUCUUACAGCUUGGAUGUCCAUGGGGGACGAAGGACUGCAGCUGGCUGAGAGGGUUGAGAUCUCUGUUUACUUAGAUCUCUGCCAACUUCCUUUGGGUCUCCCUAUGGAAUGUAAGACCCCGACUCUUCCUGGUGAAGCAUCUGAUGCACGUUCCAUCCGGCGCUCAGCUGGGCUUGAGCUGACCAUACUCCCUGGAGCCUUCUCCCGAGGUGCGCGGGUGACCUUGGCACAUACAGCCAUCAUGAUGGUACUUUAAGUGGAGGCUGAAUCAUCUCCCCUUUGAGCUGCUUGGCACGUGGCUCCCUUGGUGUUCCCCUUUUACUGCCAGGACACUGAGAUUUGGAGAGAAUCCUGUUACACCUGGGAUUUAGGCACUUUCAAUCUGAAAAAAUACAUAUCCUUUCAGCACUCUGGACGGACUUGAGAACUGUCCUUACGUGACCUAAAGCUGGAGUAUUUUGAGAUUGGAGAAUUAAGAGUGUGGGCACCCUGGCUUCAAGCUCACGAGAAACCAGGUCGGGAUUUAAACAAUGUUGGGUUAAAGCAAAGUUUCAUAAAGACAGAAUCAAGAAAAAAAGAAAGAGAAA